AAAUAAGAAAUAAAUUAUUAUAUUUAGUUUCGACCUAAAAAUUUGGUGAAAAUUCACCCUUAUUUU
rnacentral:tRNA from 1 species